rnacentral:ncRNA from 1 species
GACAAAGACUUAGUCCUAACCUUACCGUUGGUUGUUGCUAGGUAUAUACAUGCAAGUAUCCGCGCGCCAGUGUAGACGCCCUGGGUACCCUAUCUAGGUCGACAGGAGCAGGUAUCAGGCACGCCCAUGUGUAGCCCAAAACGCCUUGCAAUUGCCACGCCCCCACGGGUUCUCAGCAGUAGUUAACAUUAAGCAAUGAGUGUAAACUUGACUUAGCCAUAGCAAAUUAGGGUCGGUAAAUCCUGUGCCAGCCACCGCGGUCAUACAGGAGACCCAAGUCAACGUUAUAACGGCGUAAAGUGUGGUCACAUGUUAUCUAAAGUAGCUAAGAUUAAAAGGCAACUGAGCUGUCGUAAGCCCAAGAUGCCCAUAAGGCCUCCACCAAAGAAGAUCUUAGACCAAAGAUUUAUUGAAGCCCACGAAAGCCAGGGCCCAAACUGGGAUUAGAUACCCCACUAUGCCUGGCCCUAAAUCUUGAUGCUCGAUCUUACCGGAGCAUCCGCCCGAGAACUACGAGCACAAACGCUUAAAACUCUAAGGACUUGGCGGUGUUCCAAACCCACCUAGAGGAGCCUGUUCUGUAAUCGAUGAUCCACGAUAUACCUGACCAUUCCUUGCCAGAACAGCCUAUAUACCGCCGUCGCCAGCCCACCCAGCAUGAAGGCCCAACAGUGGACGCAAUAGCCCCGCCGCGCUAAUAAGACAGGUCAAGGUAUAGCCUAUGGAAUGGAAGCAAUGGGCUACAUUUUCUAGAUUAGAACAUACGGCAAAGGGACAUGAAACAGUCCCUGGAAGGCGGAUUUAGCAGUAAAGUGGGACAAUCGAGCCCUCUUUAAGCCGGCCCUGGAGCACGUACAUACCGCCCGUCACCCUCCUCAAAAGCGACCCC